AUCUGCAACUGUGAGGAAGAUUUUGUCCUCGCCGAUUGUAGUUGCAAAAUGGGAGGCAUGUAGCUUGUCAAUCACCACAGGUCCAGGAUUUGCCAGAAUAAGCUGCGCCAACAGACAUUGGGUUACUUACUCCUGGUAAAGAGAUCUAUAUAAAGAAGACAUCAUAAGUCUUACUGCAAUCAAGAGGCCUAUCUCCACGGAAGAAAAAACUACACCAAAGAAGGCUCCCAUGCAAGCAAUGAAAUCAAAUUUGUCUAUUUUCCAUAUCAAAAUUGCUGCCUCAAAGUCAAUUAGGCCAAGCACAGCAGAUAUAAUAAUAGCGGCAAGAAUAGCGUUUGGGGUAUACUUGAAAAGUGGUGUAAUAAAUUGCAAGGUCAGAAAUACAAUGAAAGACAUAACAAUGUUGGAAACUGCGGUUUGGCAGCCAGCCAUGUAAUUUACAGCUGAUCGAGAAAAUGAACCUGCAAGACAACAGACAUAAAACAAAGUCAAUUUGAAGUAUUCCACACUGCUCAUAGAUAUCUCCACAUCUUAGGAGUAUCAAGUUUUCAGUGGUAAACUCAAACCAUAGAGAAAAUCAAAGCAACCCUUAGCAAAACAAUUGCCAGGAGCAAUUAAAUGCAUUUAUAUUCUGGUUUAUGCUUCAAACCAUCCAUAUCAUUUGUAUGAUUGGAAUUUAAAAUUUUUCAUGGGAUUUUCUUGGUAUUCAAUCAACUUUUUAUGGCUGCUUACUAUCA